rnacentral:rRNA from 1 species
UACGUAGGGUGCGAGCGUUGUCCGGAAUUAUUGGGCGUAAAGGGCUCGUAGGCGGUUUGUCGCGUCGGGAGUGAAAACACACAGCUUAACUGUGUGCUUGCUUCCGAUACGGGCAGACUAGAGGUAUGCAGGGGAGAACGGAAUUCCUGGUGUAGCGGUGAAAUGCGCAGAUAUCAGGAGGAACACCAAUGGCGAAGGCAGCUCUCUGGGACGGUACUGACGCUGAGACGCGAAAGCGUGGGGAGCGAACAGG